rnacentral:rRNA from 1 species
CGGUGAGUGAGAUAGGGGGAGGAGAGGGGGCGCUACCGCAACCGGCUACAGGGAGAGUCAGAGAGGGGGAGGAGAGGGGUGGCGCGGCGGGUGGUGCACGCAGAGGGUUGAUGCGGCGGCGGCGGGAGGACGCGACGACGCUUCCUCCGUUGGUGGCGGCGGGUGGACGCGUCGAGUUGUUGGCGGCUGGGUGGAGCGGGUGGCGCCGGGUGUCGACCUGGUGGAGGAGGGGCUCCUCUGGUGCUUGAGGCGGAGCGGCUCUCGAUGCGGUAGGAGCUCGGCGCGAACGACCCCUCGGCACCUAGCUGCCUUAGCGAGGGUAGAGGAGGGUGAGCGCGGAGAGGACAGAAGGGGCUAGGCAAGUUUUCUUAAUCCCACGGGGCGGCCACAUCACCAGGCGGCGAGCGGCGGCGACCUCCAGGCGGCGAGCGGUGGACGGGGGGAGAGCUAACGAACGAUACGUCGGACCCGCAGCACCAGGUGGCGAGCGGCGGCGACCUGCCGACCUCCAGCAGCCGUGGGUUCAUGGCGGGUGCGAGACCGCGAACGUGUGGCGGCCGGGACGGGGUAGGGUGGGAGGCGGUGGUAGAAGGGGUGGGGCUCGAGCCUAAAUGCUGCGGGUGACGGAAGGUCAAGCUCGAGGCGGAGCUGGAGUAGGGACGACGGCGGCAGAAGGGACUUGGUUCCUUCGGGAGUAGACUAUGCGAGAGGAGGCGCUGCACGAAGAGGUUGGUAACCAUGCGCUGCCACCAAGCCAGGCCCUCCACCGAGGACGUUAGGACCGCAGCGGCGUCGCCACCAAGGUAAGGCCGCCGUAGUCCCCUCGUGUGUUGCAGGUGCUCGUCGUUCGUCUCGACCGGUUACUACGUCGUCGCGACCGGUACUCCUCUGCGGACGGCACCGCCUGCGCCUCUGUUGUCGGUACCCGCACCUUCUGCCAAAACCUAGGACACUCGGCGGCGGCGACGGCGUGUCUUUCAGUUGCGCCCGGAAGACGACGAGGUACAGGUUGUUCAGCGGGUGCUCCGCAGUCACACCGUAACGAUCGAGGUCGAGGGGGGACGUUAGCAGAGACGGCGGCCGUGAACGUGCGUUAGCACGACCAAAGACAUCAAGUUCUAGUUUCCGUUCUUAGUCGGUUUAUACUACUACUCUUGUUCCGAUUACUACCUCUUGGAAGUAGAUAGCUUCGACUCGUCAGAUAACCCUUAUGAUUCAAAGUUACGCGUAGGAUUCAAAGUCAAUGGACUUUAGUUCCGGUCAAAGUCAGCUACGGCUUCAUUUGAUGGUGUAUGCACUACUGGAACUCUUUUAGGUACGUGAAGUUAACCUGUCCUCAAAAGACGGUGCAUUAGCUACUACGUGAAGUGCACUGUCUUAACAAACAAUUUCCUUGAAAACCGUUCUUUAUGUGUUGGCACAGUAAGUCACGACCUGGAGACAACAACCGUUCUUUAUGUGAUUACACAUCGAGUGACGACUCCAAAAAAUUUCCUUGAAAACCGUUGUUUAUGUGUUGGCACAGUAAGUCACGACCUGGAGACAAUAACCGUUCUUUAUGUGAUUACACAUCGAGUGACGACUCCAGUCGUUCUCCCCCAUGUCCGUGUAGACUGUGGAAAAAGAGAAGGCCGCGGAACGAUAAACGUAAAGGGUAAGCAUGGAUAGUAAAAAGUUGUCGUAAUCAUAACUACACCAUACAUAUGACUUGUUAACCGAACGGUACAUAAAAACCACAAGGUUGACCCUUGUACCCCUUCUUUACUGAUGUAACAUAUGUAGACUAUUUGUAAAUAACAGAACCCUACAUAAAAACCACAAGCUUGACCCUUGUACC